rnacentral:rRNA from 1 species
UACAGAGGUCUCAAGCGUUGUUCGGAUUUAUUGGGCGUAAAGGGCGCGUAGGCGGCGGGGUAAGUCGGGUGUGAAAUCUCAGGGCUCAACCCUGAAACUGCACUUGAUACUGCUCUGCUUGAGGACUGGAGAGGAGACUGGAAUUCACGGUGUAGCAGUGAAAUGCGUAGAUAUCGUGAGGAAGACCAGUGGCGAAGGCGGGUCUCUGGACAGUUCCUGACGCUGAGGCACGAAAGCGUGGGGAGCAAACAGG